GUGCUCACUUUGGCAGCAAAUAUACUGAAAUUGGAAUGACACAAAGAUUAUCAUGGCCCCUGCACAAGGAUGACACGCAAAUUUGUGAACCAUUAAAAAAAAAA